rnacentral:rRNA from 1 species
AACGAACGCUGGCGGCAUGCCUAACACAUGCAAGUCGAACGAGACCUUCGGGUCUAGUGGCGCACGGGUGCGUAACGCGUGGGAACCUGCCCUUAGGUUCGGAAUAACUCCCCGAAAGGGGUGCUAAUACCGGAUAAUGUCUUCGGACCAAAGAUUUAUCGCCUUUGGAUGGGCCCGCGUUGGAUUAGCUAGUUGGUAGGGUAAAAGCCUACCAAGGCGACGAUCCAUAGCUGGUCUGAGAGGAUGAUCAGCCACACUGGGACUGAGACACGGCCCAGACUCCUACGGAAGGCAGCGGAGGGGAAUAUAGGAAAAUGGCGGGAGGCCUGAUCCAGCUAGGCCGGGUGAGUGAUGAAGGCUGUAGGGUUGGAAAGCUCUUUUACCCGGGAUGAGAGUGACGGUACCGGGAGAAUAAGCACCGGCUAACUCCGUG